GGCGGCGUGCCUAACACAUGCAAGUCGAACGGGAAUCUUCGGAUUCUAGUGGCGGACGGGUGAGUAACGCGUAAGAAUCUAACUUCAGGACGGGGACAACAGUGGGAAACGACUGCUAAUACCCGAUGUGCCGCGAGGUGAAACCUAAUUGGCCUGAAGAAGAGCUUGCGUCUGAUUAGCUAGUUGGUGGGGUAAGAGCCUACCAAGGCGACGAUCAGUAGCUGGUCUGAGAGGAUGAGCAGCCACACUGGGACUGAGACACGGCCCAGACUCCUACGGGAGGCAGCAGUGGGGAAUUUUCCGCAAUGGGCGAAAGCCUGACGGAGCAACGCCGCGUGAGGGAGGAAGGCCUUUGGAUUGUAAACCUCUUUUCUCAAGGAAGAAGUUCUGACGGUACUUGAGGAAUCAGCCUCGGCUAACUCCGUGCCAGCAGCCGCGGUAAUACGGGGGAGGCAAGCGUUAUCCGGAAUUAUUGGGCGUAAAGCGUCCGCAGGUGGUCAGCCAAAGUCUGCC
rnacentral:rRNA from 1 species